rnacentral:rRNA from 1 species
GUGGGGAAUAUUGGACAAUGGGCGAAAGCCUGAUCCAGCCAUGCCGCGUGUGUGAAGAAGGUCUUCGGAUUGUAAAGCACUUUAAGUUGGGAGGAAGGGCAGUAAGUUAAUACCUUGCUGUUUUGACGUUACCGACAGAAUAAGCACCGGCUAACUUCGUGCCAGCAGCCGCGGUAAUACGAAGGGUGCAAGCGUUAAUCGGAAUUACUGGGCGUAAAGCGCGCGUAGGUGGUUUUGUAAGUUGGAGGGGAAAUCCCCGGGCUCAACCUGGGAACUGCCUCCAAAACUGCAUGACUAGAGUACGGUAGAGGGUAGUGGAAUUUCCUGUGUAGCGGUGAAAUGCGUAGAUAUAGGAAGGAACACCAGUGGCGAAGGCGACUACCUGGACUGAUACUGACACUGAGGUGCGAAAGCGUGGGGAGCAAACAGGAUUAGAAACCCGUGUAGUCC